CACCGCCUGUCGGUACUACCGAUUGAAUGGUUUAGUGAAGUCUUUGGAUUGAUUUCGUUGUCGUGGCUUUGCCGCUCGACUGAUGCUGAGACGAUGACCUAAUUUAACUAUUUAGAGGAAGUAAAAGUUGUAACAAGGUUUCCAUGGGUGAACUUGCAGAAG
rnacentral:ncRNA from 1 species